rnacentral:rRNA from 1 species
UACGGAGGGUGCGAGCGUUGUUCGGAAUUACUGGGCGUAAAGCGCGUGUAGGCGGCCGAUUAAGUCUGGCGUGAAAGCCCGGGGCUCACCCCCGGAAGUGCGCUGGAAACUGGUCGGCUAGAGUAUGGGAGAGGAAAGUGGAAUUCUCGGUGUAGAGGUGAAAUUCGUAGAUAUCGAGAGGAACACCGGUGGCGAAGGCGGCUUUCUGGACGGCGACUGACGCUGAGACGCGAAAGCGUGGGGAGCAAACAGG